CUAGAAGCCCCUGAAUUGUAUUUCUGGAGGCAGCCCUAACCAGCCACUGCCAGGAAGGUGACCUAAGAUGGUGCCCUUGUCCAAGCCUGGGCAGUAGCAUCCCUGGAUAUGGAAGAAGCCUGUUCUAUAUAGCGCAUACAAGCUAAAACAGACACAGGCAGCCCCUCCCACCCCCGAGAGCCACCAUACUGCUGUCUCCUGAUGGGGAAGACUGGUGCCAGGCAAGCCUCGACUGACACCAUCACAUCAGCAUUGCUCACACUGGCUGUGGGAGGGCUGCAGUCCUGUGAGACGUGAUGCUAUCUGCAGAGCUGUGGAAGCAGAAGUGUGUCUCCCCACCCAGCCUCUCGGUGCUUCACCCAUUCUCUGGUCAUGUGACAGCGCAACUCUCCAGGUUCCUGUUAGAAGGGCUUUGCUGGUGGUCUGGAAACCUUCAGGAGGUGCUUCCCCCUUCUUCCCUGCCCUCCUGUGGUAGCUGAGCUAGGUGGCGUGGGACCUUGAUUCCUUCCCAUCUAUACAGGCAUCUUCCUGCAUCUUCCUGAAGACAUUGUUGGUCUCCGCUCCUCGGGCCAACAAGCAACAUGGAAACAGAUUCAGAGGCCCCACUGUUUGCUGACACUCACAGACUGUCCUUCAGGUCACCCUCUGUGAUGUGUCACGGAGGGGGAGCCAAUCCUCUAGUGCCUGUUCUAUCAGAGUCGGCCUCUGUCUGCAUCUGUCACUGCUGAUUGCAUUUGAAUGACUUUGCCUCUUUUUUAAAUAAAAGA